GACGGAGGUAGAAGUGAAAGAUGGAUCAAAGGACGAAGAUGAAUGCGAUUAGGUCGGGGAUAGUGGUGGUGGGAACUUUGGCAUUCGGAUACCUAACCCUACAGCUGGGGUUCAAGCCCUUUCUCGAGAAAGCUCAAGAAAAACUCGAAAAACCUGACCCCUCUCCACCCUCCCAGUAGACACGCCACACUCUUAGCUCUCUUUUAGAUCCCUUUUUUUUUUUUUUUUUUGUCGGGUUUGUUUCUGUACUCAACUGAGCUACGGUCUGUCUGGAUCGAGAGACAAGGGGAGAUAAAGAUGGAUUGGCAAGAAAAUUUGGAAGAUGAAGAUGAAAAUUGGUUACUGAAUUGAUAUCAAAGAAGACGGAUGGCUGUGGCUCAAGUUCUUUGUUUGGUCACAUAUGAAAUGUACAUGGGUCAUGUAUAAUGCCAUAAAUACCUUGUUGAUCAGCCUGCAGCAUCUUUGAAUAGCAAAAAACACAAGGGUUUGGGGGAUGAUUUUUGUAUGUGAGAGUUUGAAGGUAUAAGGGCAGCAAUUAAAAAUGUUGCAGAAGCAAUCAGGGAGGGAAAUGCUAUUAUAAAGAAAGGUCAAGCUCAUGUUUAAUUGGAGGAAGAAGUUUUUUCUGAAUUGGUGAACAUGGGUGUUGAACGGAACUUACGCUACCGGGCCUAUACUUUCCUUACUGAAGAUGCUGUGGGGGUGUUCUUUGGCUGCCCAAUUGAUGAGCACAAGAAGUUUUUGCUUCAAAUGAUGUGUGGUCCCUUUGAUCCUUGAUGAGCCUGUGUUAUGGUGAAUGAGACAAGAUGGAACUUCUUUGUGAUGUUUUGUGGUUGUUUCUUUUGUGGAUGAUUAGGUGUGUUUUCUUCUUCUUCUUUCUUUGUGAUGUUCUUCCCUGGCAUUUUAGUUCUUGUUAGAGCCCCUCACCAAAUUUGCCGAGAAAAAACUUUCUCCACUUCAUAUUUUAUAUUUCUUCAAUUUCUUACUCUUGUCUUGCUUCAAGAGUUGAUUA